ensembl:lncRNA
UCCCUUCGCAAGCAAGACUCCAAGCUCAUGGAUACUCUGAACAACAAGCUUGGGAGAAGAACCAGUUUGGAGUUGCUUUCAGGAGCCAAUGAUUCACUUAAGUCUCCAGGACAUCCUGUCAUGUCCAAGGUGGUUUCCAAAGUUUCCUCUGCUGCUAAGGAAAGGAGACUCUGCUACCAGACCUCACCGAUGGAGACCCUGCUACCAGACCUCACCGAUAGAGGCCCAACCUCCUCCAGUCUCCCGCACACCUUUAGCAGCUGAGACUCGACCAUCAGUCAACAUGACGCUGUUCUCGUAGAAGAUAUUUAAACCAUGUUGUAGCAAGUAAAGAAAAACUUUUAUUGGUGAUGAAAAUGCUGUUGAUAAUACACAGUAAUGUGAAGGAGCUUUUCGCACCAGGGCCGCUAAAACAAACUGAACAAAACAUGUAAAACAGUAAGACACCGCGGGAAAACGUUUUCGUAUAGCAAAAGUAACGCGUUAAAGCUAGAAUCCUUAGAUGCUACAUCAAUUUUUAAUGAUAUCCAUUGAUUCUUGAAUAAUACAACUUAUAAAUGCCUCACGAACUUAGUUCAGCUGUCGUUCCCCAUUAGAACCCCAAAUAUAAGCUUGUUUUACUCAAGUGUUUGUAUACAAUAUAAAUGUAAACAAACACUGUAUAGCCUCAAAACAUGGUUAAAAGUAUCAUGUUGAUACCAUGGAUGGGCAGUCCUUGCAUCCAUAGCUCUAUGAAUUUGAGCGGUUACAUGUCUCCAGGUUCACCCCUCAGCUAUUGACCCUUUGUUAUUGUUUCAAGUAAGGAUUCAAGCUUUAAGUGCAAAGUGUACCAUAAACUUCAUUGUAAUCUGGCAAUAUGAUUUAAUCUCAAACCUUUUUUUCAAUAAUGUGUUAUUUAACUAGAGUUUAGUAAACUGGGCAAUACAUAAAUAAUAACCAUCUUUAUAACAUAAAUUGUUGAAGAAAAGUUUCAAACUAAAUUACACUGCCAGAUUACAAUGCGGUUUAUUGUAAAAUGUUCAUUUAACACUACAGAAAUGUAGCCUCUUGUUUAAAGAUGUCAUUUCAUUGUGGCAAAUACUUACAUCAAAUGUAGAUAAAUACAGAUAAUCCCAUUGUAUAGAGGCACACACACACAACCGCUACAAAGGUUAUUGUAGUGUAAAAAAUAACCUUGCAUUUUAUGGAUAAAUCAUGUUUUUAAGAAUGAUGGUUAAUCUCUUCACUCACAUGCAGAAAAAAAAAGAAGAAAUAAAUCUGACUCGAGCAGAAACAUGUCUAGCCUGGUCCCAGAUCUGUUUGUGCUGUUUUGCCAACUCAAGAGUCAUUGGUCAUCACCGACCAUCGGACUUGUCUAAGCAUCAAACAGAUCUGGGCCCAAGAUAUAAUGUGGGGAUGAUCAAUAGGUUAAAAUCAAUAGACCAAAAUCAAUAGACCAAUACUAGAAGAGACCUGAUUGGACCCAAGUGAUCAGCCAAGUUGCACUUCUGGUUAAUGAAUAGGUCUUUAUACUGUAUGUUGUCUAGGCCUUCUAUAAAUCAAUAAAUUCACCGUAUUAGCAUAUGCAGAGCUGUGGUUGUGUCCAUUCGGAUCUAUCAGCUGUAGUUAAAUUGACCCGAGACCCAAUGACAAUCGAACAGGACCCGACCCAGACCCCAAGGAAAAGUUAGAAUCUUUUAGACCAGUUCAGGUCCCGGGUAUUCAGGUGGACCCACGAAGGCCUUUACCUUUGAGUGGUCUAUGUAAUAUUGGUGGCAUGUUAAUAACAUCCUGAACUACACCAAAUAAUAGUAAUAAACUCCCAUUAAAAAGUGUUGAAUGGAAGAAUACUAAACACGUACAAAAUGUGUAUCAAACCAAACAAGCGUGGAUUAUUUCACC